rnacentral:rRNA from 1 species
AUUGAACGCUGGCGGCAUGCUUUACACAUGCAAGUCGAACGGUAACAGGCCUUCGGGUGCUGACGAGUGGCGAACGGGUGAGUAAUGCAUCGGAACGUACCCAGAGGUGGGGGAUAACGCAGCGAAAGCUGUGCUAAUACCGCAUGUGAUCUGAGGAUGAAAGCGGGGGACCGAGCAGCAAUGUUUGGCCUCGCGCCUUUGGAGCGGCCGAUGUCGGAUUAGCUAGUUGGUGGGGUAAUGGCCUACCAAGGCGACGAUCCGUAGCUGGUCUGAGAGGACGAACAGCCACACUGGGACUGAGACACGGCCCAGACUCCUACGGGAGGCAGCAGUGGGGAAUUUUGGACAAUGGGCGCAAGCCUGAUCCAGCAAUGCCGCGUGCGGGAAGAAGGCCUUCGGGUUGUAAACCGCUUUUGGCAGGAACGAAACGGUGUCCGCUAAUACCGGGCGCUAAUGACGGUACCUGCAGAAUAAGCACCGGCUAACUACGUG